UAUUUCAUUAAGAGAUCAGCAGUAGGCACAUGGAAAUGACAGCAAUCAUUAGGUCUGCAUUACUUUGUUUGCAUUAGGGAGCGUGUGGAGGCCCCAGGCACAGCCAGGGCUGAAGGAACAGGGGGAAGCCAGCCCCGUGUAAAUCACUUCAGAUUGCCCUGAGACACACUGAGAGCCUUCAUCAUGGGCUGGCCAGGCUCUGCUACCUGCUCCUGGAGGCUGAGACGCUGCAAUCAUGAACGUGACAGAAGAGAAUUAGGAGACAGCAGGUGAAUUUGCCCCGGCAAUGGGAAGGCAGUGAGUCUCCUCCACAGUUACAGCUCUGAACACCAGGACAAAGGAGCAGCAAUGCAGCUGAUUGAACAAUCCCCUCUUCGCGAUGUGCUCGGGGUUUCUGUUGCUGAGACUGUCACCUGCUGGCCACGGAGAAGC